ACACAGAGUGACGGUACCUGCAGAAAAAAGCACCGGCUAACUACGUGCCAGCAGCCGCGGUAAUACGUAGGGUGCAAGCGUUAUCCGGAAUUAUUGGGCGUAAAGAGCUCGUAGGCGGUUUGUCGCGUCUGCUGUGAAAACUGGGGGCUCAACCCCCAGCCUGCAGUGGGUACGGGCAGACUAGAGUGCGGUAGGGGAGAUUGGAAUUCCUGGUGUAGCGGUGGAAUGCGCAGAUAUCAGGAGGAACACCAAUGGCGAAGGCAGAUCUCUGGGCCGUAACUGACGCUGAGGAGCGAAAGCAUGGGGAGCGAACAGGAUUAGAUACCCUUGUAGUCCAAGCCGUAAACGUUGGGAACUAGAUGUAGGGGCCAUUCCACGGUUUCUGUGUCGCAGCUAACGCAUUAAGUUCCCCGCCUGGGGAGUACGGCCGCAAGGCUAAAACUCAAAGGAAUUGACGGAAUCGAA
rnacentral:rRNA from 1 species